rnacentral:rRNA from 1 species
GAUGAACGCUGGCGGCGUGCCUAAUACAUGCAAGUCGAGCGAACGGACGAGAAGCUUGCUUCUCUGAUGUUAGCGGCGGACGGGUGAGUAACACGUGGAUAACCUACCUAUAAGACUGGGAUAACUUCGGGAAACCGUAGCUAAUACCGGAUAAUAUUUUGAACCGCAUGGUUCAAAAGUGAAAGACGGUCUUGCUGUCACUUAUAGAUGGAUCCGCGCUGCAUUAGCUAGUUGGUAAGGUAACGGCUUACCAAGGCAACGAUGCAUAGCCGACCUGAGAGGGGGAUCGGCCACACUGGAACUGAGACACGGUCCAGACUCCUACGGGAGGCAGCAGUAGGGAAUCUUCCGCAAAGGGCGAAAGCCUGACGGAGCAACGCCGCGUGAGUGAUGAAGGUCUUCGGAUCGUAAAACUCUGUUAUUAGGGAAGAACAUAUGUGUAAGUAACUGUGCACAUCUUGACGGUACCUAAUCAGAAAGCCACGGCUAACUACGUG